UCGGGAAUUUUGGGCAAUGGGCGAAAGCCUGACCCAGCAACGCCGCGUGAAGGAUGAAGUAUUUCGGUAUGUAAACUUCGAAAGAAUAGGAAGAAUAAAUGACGGUACUAUUUAUAAGGUCCGGCUAACUACGUGCCAGCAGCCGCGGUAAUACGAAGGGGGCUAGCGUUGUUCGGAUUUACUGGGCGUAAAGCGCGUGUAGGCGGGUCGUUAAGUUGGGGGUGAAAUCCCGAGGCUCAACCUCGGAACUGCCUCCAAAACUGGCGACCUGGAGCAAGAUAGAGGCGAGUGGAAUUCCGAGUGUAGAGGUGAAAUUCGUAGAUAUUCGGAGGAACACCAGUGGCGAAGGCGACUCGCUGGAUCUUUGCUGACGCUGAGACGCGAAAGCGUGGGGAGUAACAGGAUUAGAUACCCAAGUAGUCCCUGAGCGGGCUGGCAAGGCGCAU
rnacentral:rRNA from 1 species